GACAGAGGCCUCAAGCGUUAGGCGGAAUCACUGGGCUUAAAGCGUGUGUAGGCGGAUCGUUAAGUGCCUUGUGAAAUCCCUCGGCUCAACUGAGGAAUUGCCUUUGAAACUGCCUGGCUCGAGGCCGGGAGGGGGUAGCGGAAUUCCCAGUGUAGCGGUGAAAUGCGUAGAUAUUGGGAGGAACACCGGUGGCGAAGGCGGCUACCUGGACCGGUUCUGACGCUGAUGCGCGAAAGCGUGGGGAGCAAACAGG
rnacentral:rRNA from 1 species